UUUACAUAAUUAUCCACAAUGUGUUAUGUAUUUUAUAUUGAAGGGACACGCAUUAGAAAUUAGUAUUAGUUAUAAAUACUGCUGUGAAGAGCAUUUGAAAAUUGUCCUUCAGUUCUCCAUGUAUACCGCAUCUGUCCCUGCAUAAUAAACCAGAGAAAAGAAGAAUUCAAACUUUUGUAGUGAUGGUGAAAAUAUUUUCGAAAUGGCUGCUGGAGUCAAAGCAAAGUGUGAUCUGUCUCUGCAGCAGCUGACCUCAGUGGGGUGUCCUGGAUGAUGACGUUGACUCCAGCCAUCACCAUUCUCUCCUCCUUCAUCUCCUUAGUGUUGGUGUUUCACUUCAGUCAGAGAACAGAAUCUCCAGUGGUGAAGGAAAGAACUGACACCAGAGAAAUAUCAGCUCAGGAUGAAAACAUGUGUUUAACACGAGUCGUGUUCCGGCUGCAGGAUUGACAAACACACCAGUAAACUGCAGACGAAGCUCAAGAGCACGUUGACUUCUUCUAUUCUUUUUUGAUUGUUUUUCUCACAGGCAAUAUGUAAUGAGCUAUCAGAUCAUAAUAGUUUCUGUCCAUGUUGACUGAUGUAGAUUAGUUCUGGGCAAUAAAAAUGGUCACAUCUUAUUAGUCACAUGCAUUUUCAUCACAAUAUUAUGGGUAAAGUUUGCAUUGCAGCAAGCACACAUCGGACAUGUUGCUGCAGGAGCUGGGGAUCGAACACCAAACUUUCCGGAUGAGAGACGACCGACUCUACCAACUGAGCCACCAACUUCCCAAAUCUGGAUUUUGGAUCAUCCGAGGAAUUCUUAAGUCCUGACUAUACCCAAGAGACCUCAAGUGUUGAAAAAUGUCAGAAGAAAGAGCAGAAAAAACUACAAUUCCUCUAGUGUCCACUUGAGUCUGGCUGCUAAAGCUCGUUAAGUCAUAUACACACACAGUUAUUGUUAAAAUGCCUUUAUUGACGGGAGAAAUCAAUAAUUUUAUGGGUGACCUCACUAAGACUAUGUCCUUGUUUUAUACGGUCUAUGUGUAUACCCAGAGGUUGCAAAUAUCCAGAGGGAGCAUGUGCUAAGAUCUAUGAACCACAUUGGUUACGGGCUUCCUGCUCCACUUACAACAUAUUCAAAUUAAUCUUAUUGGGGCGCCGGUGGCUUAUUGACUAGUUUGCACGCUCCAUGUAAAGAGGCUGUCAUCCACGCUACCGUCCUGCUAGUCAUUCCCCUCUCUCUCUCUCUCUCUCUCUCUCUCUUUCUGUCUCACCUUGAUAACUCUAUCCACUGUCCUGUCUCUUUCAAUAAAGGCACAAAAAGCCCCAAAAAUCAAUGAUUUUUUUGGGGGGGUAUUUUUAAAUUAGCAUUGUUAGCUUUAAAAAGGUAAUCGUAUCUCAUCUCACUAUUACUGUUUGAUGAAACAACCUUAAAGAUGUUAUUUUGAUUUAAAAUGUAAUUUGGAGCACAAAAACUUCAACGUUAAGAAGAUACGUUGCUACUAAUUUUGUAUUUUCCUCCAUGUGGUAAAUGGGACAAAAGUUUUUAAUCUUAUCAUUUUGCCUGUACGUCAUCAGAUCAUUAUUCUUUUUUUAUUUUUCCUAUUGACAUAGAGAAAAUCCUGUGAUCAUAUUUUAUGUAAUAAAUCAGAGUAAUC